rnacentral:rRNA from 1 species
GACGAACGCUGGCGGCGUGCCUAAUACAUGCAAGUAGAACGCUGAAGGAGGAGCUUGCUUCUCCGGAUGAGUUGCGAACGGGUGAGUAACGCGUAGGUAACCUGCCUGGUAGCGGGGGUUAACUAUUGGAAACGAUAGCUAAUACCGCAUAAGAGUAGAUGUCGCAUGACAUUUGCUUAAAAGGUGCAACUGCACCACUACCAUAUGGACCUGCGUUGUAUUAGCUAGUUGGUGAGGUAACGGCUCACCAAGGCAACGAUACAUAGCCGACCUGAGAGGGUGAUCGGCCACACUGGGACUGAGACACGGCCCAGACUCCUACGGGAAGCAGCAGUAGGGAAUCUUCGGCAAUGGACGGAAGUCUGACCGAGCAACGCCGCGUGAGUGAAGAAGGUUUUCGGAUCGUAAAGCUCUGUUGUAAGAGAAGAACGAGUGUGAGAGUGGAAAGUUCACACUGUGACGGUAGCUUACCAGAAAGGGACGGCUAACUACGUG